rnacentral:rRNA from 1 species
UAGCCGCAAUAUCUGUGCUAAGGUAGCAUAAUCAUUAGUUCACUAAUUAUGAAAUAGAAUGAAUGAUUUCACAAAUAAAUUAUUUUCUUUAUUAUUAUUAAUCUAAAUUCAUCUAAAAGUUAAAAAGCUUUUUAAUCAAGAAAGACAACAAGACCCUAACGAACUUCACUUACAGUUUUACUGGGGCGGUUUUUAAUUAUACCUUACUUCUUUAUUACUUAUAACCUUACUAUAAGAUUCCCCAAGUUACCGUAGGGAUAACAGCACAAUAGUUUUUUAAAGCUCUUAUAUCAAAAAUUUUUGUGACCUCGAUGUUGAAUUAAGUACCUAAUUUAAGCAAGAUUAAAUACAUCUUUUAAGGAAGUCUGUUCGACUUUUAAAUUCUUACAUGAU